UUGCAAUUUUUAAAAAUGGCAUGAGUAUAAUACAAAAGUUCAAGUGUAUGUAUUUGAAAAACUAAAUUUUUCUAAAUUUGAUACCAAUUAGAAAUUACUAAAUACAAACCUAGGUGAAAGUUAAGUACUUUCCUGGUAGUUUCUUGUCUCUGCAGCUGUAGUAAUUCUCAAAACCACACUUAAAAGUACAGAGACUGAGAGAGAGAGAGCACAUGCCUUAAAUCUUUGACCUUCUGGCUAUCUCUUUUUUCUCCCCAAGCAGUUGACAGAAAGCAACUCUAAUUCUGUUUUCAUAGUCAAAAAAAAAACAAGAAAUACAACAUUUAGACAUAAGGUUAGCUGAGACACACCUGGAGAAGACAGCGAGGUCUUCAUUCUUUUUGCUGUAUUUUUUAUUAAUUGAUGUAUGUUCAAAUGCAUAAUGCCGUAUUUCAUCCCACAACUAUACACCAUAUUUAUGACUGACCAAAUAAAAAGUUCUAUACCAUUAAAAUGGCACAAGAAAGACUUUACUCUGCUACAGAGCUGCAACGUGCAGAGGCUAGUGCUGUUACUAACCAACGACCAAGUGUUCAAGAAAGAGCCAUAACGUAUCUGGUGUACCUGACAAGCAGUCUGUAAAGAUGCUAUAGGACCUCCUAUUGUGCUCCCAUGUAUUUCUAGGUAUUUCUUUCCACUUUCUUCCUUGCUUUUGUUCUAUAUCACCUAACUACAGAAAAGGAGCUUGGCAUAUCCUAUUCUGUUCCUUCCUUAUACACACAUAUCCAAAAGUAUGCCUAAAAGAUACAUUCAGGGGCGCCUGGGUGGCGCAGUCGGUUAAGCGUCCG